rnacentral:rRNA from 1 species
CUUGCUCUGGUGACCCGAGUGGCGGACGGGUGAGUAACACGUGACCAACCUACCUUCGGGAGGGGGACAACCUGGGGAAACCUGGGCUAAUACCGCAUAUCGUCCACGGGCCGCAUGGCCUGUGGAUAAAAGGGAGCCUCUGCUUGCAUGCUCUCACCCGAAGAGGGGGUCGCGGCGUAUCAGCUAGUUGGUGGGGUAACGGCCUACCAAGGCGACGACGCGUAGCGGGUCUGAGAGGACGACCCGUCACAUUGGGACUGAGAUACGGCCCAGACUCCUACGGGAGGCAGCAGUGGGGAAUAUUGCGCAAUGGCCGAAAGGUUGACGCAGCGACGCCGCGUGUGGGAGGACGCCCUUCGGGGUGUAAACCACUGUCAGGGGGGAAGAACUUCGCAGGUGUGA